GGCUGGGCUGAAGGUAAUCAGUUAUCUCAACUGAUCUCUCACAGUCAGUUGCAGAUGGAAUUCCUUCCUCUAGUCUUUCCCCCAGCUCUCACUGCUGCACUUCACUCAUCUUGA
rnacentral:Y_RNA from 1 species